ACAAAGAGAAGCGACCUCGCGAGAGCAAGCGGACCUCAUAAAGUAUGUCGUAGUCCGGAUUGGAGUCUGCAACUCGACUCCAUGAAGUCGGAAUCGCUAGUAAUCGUAGAUCAGAAUGCUACGGUGAAUACGUUCCCGGGCCUUGUACACACCGCCCGUCACACCAUGGGAGUGGGUUGCAAAAGAAGUAGGUAGCUUAACCUUCGGGAGGGCGCUUACCACUUUGUGAUUCAUGACUGGGGUGAAGUCGUAACAAGGUAACCGUAGGGGAACCUGCGGUUGGAUCACCUCCUUACCUUAAAGAA
rnacentral:rRNA from 1 species